GACGAACGCUGGCGGCGUGCUUAACACAUGCAAGUCGAACGGAAAGGCCCCUUCGGGGGUACUCGAGUGGCGCACGGGUGAGUAACACGUGAGUAACCUGCCCUUGACUUCGGGAUAACUUCAGGAAACUGGGGCUAGUACCGGAUAGGAAUCCUUGCUGCAUGGUGGGGGUUGGAAAGCUUCGGCGGUUUUGGAUGGACUCGCGGCUUAUCAGCUUGUUGGUGGGGUAGUGGCUUACCAAGGCUUUGACGGGUAGCCGGCCUGAGAGGGCGACCGGCCACAUUGGGACUGAGAUACGGCCCAGACACCGACGGGAGGCAGCAGUGGGGAAUAUUGAACAAUGGGCGGAAGCCUGAUGCAGCAACGCCGCGUGCGGGAUGACGGCCUUCGGGUUGGAAACCGCUUUCAGCAGGGGCGAAGCUUGUGGUGACGGUACCUGCAGAAGAAGCACCGGCUAACUACGUG
rnacentral:rRNA from 1 species